AACGCGUGGGUAACCUACCCCGAAGCGUGGGAUACCCCAACGAAAGAUGGGUUAAUACCACAUGUGUUCGGGAUGUCGCAUGACGUUCCGAGGAAAGAUGGCCUCGACCGCAAGGUUGCUAUCACUUCGGGAGGGACCCGCGUCCCAUCAGCUAGUUGGUAGGGUCAUGGCCUACCAAGGCGUAUGACGGGUAGCUAGCCUGAGAGGGCGGUUAGCCACACUGGGACUGAGACACUGCCCAGACUCCUACGGGAGGCUGCAGUCGAGAAUCUUUGGCAAUGGGCGAAAGCCUGACCAUGCGACGCCGCGUGCGGGACGAAGGCCUUCGGGUCGUAAACCGCUGUUACGAGGGACGAAGGCCUGUGCUGUGAACAAUGGCGCAGGUUUGACGGUACCUCGAGAGAAAGCCACGGCUAACUCCGUGCCAGCAGCCGCGGUAAUACGGAGGUGGCAAGCGUUGCUCGGAUUUACUGGGUGUAAAGGGCACGUAGGCGGCCUUGUUAGCCCCACCUAAAAUGCUUCGGCUUAACCGAAGCCGGUGGUGGGGGACUGCAGGGCUGGAGGAUGGGAGAGGCGAGCGGAAUUCCCGGUGUAAGGGUGAAAUCUGUAAAGAUCGGGAGG
rnacentral:rRNA from 1 species